rnacentral:rRNA from 1 species
AUUGAACGCUGGCGGCAGGCCUAACACAUGCAAGUCGAACGAGCUGCGGACGGGUGAGUAAUGUCUGGGAAACUGCCUGAUGGAGGGGGAUAACUACUGGAAACGGUAGCUAAUACCGCAUACCAUCAGAUGUGCCCAGAUGGGAUUAGCUAGUAGGUGGGGUAAUGGCUCACCUAGGCGACGAUCCCUAGCUGGUCGGAGAGGAUGACCAGCAACACUGGAACUGAGAAACGGUCAAGACGCAUACGGGAGGCAGCAGUGGGGAAGCGUCCGCAAUGGACGAAAGUCUGACGGAGCAACGCCGCGUGAGUGAUGACGGCCUUAGGGUUGUAAAGUACUGUCAGCGAGGAGGCGUUACUCGCAGAAGAAGCACCGGCUAACUCCGUGCCAGCAGCCGCGGUAAUUC